rnacentral:rRNA from 1 species
GAUGAACGCUGGUGGCGUGCUUAACACAUGCAAGUCGAACGGUGAAGGCGGAGCUUGCUCUGCUGGAUCAGUGGCGAACGGGUGAGUAACACGUGAGCAAUCUGCCCCUGACUCUGGGAUAAGCGCUGGAAACGGCGUCUAAUACUGGAUACGAGCUGCGAAGGCAUCUUCAGCAGCUGGAAAGAAUUUCGGUCAGGGAUGAGCUCGCGGCCUAUCAGCUUGUUGGUGAGGUAAUGGCUCACCAAGGCGUCGACGGGUAGCCGGCCUGAGAGGGUGACCGGCCACACUGGGACUGAGACACGGCCCAGACUCCUACGGGAGGCAGCAGUGGGGAAUAUUGCACAAUGGGCGAAAGCCUGAUGCAGCAACGCCGCGUGAGGGACGACGGCCUUCGGGUUGUAAACCUCUUUUAGCAGGGAAGAAGCGAAAGUGACGGUACCUGCAGAAAAAGCGCCGGCUAACUACGUG